rnacentral:lncRNA from 1 species
UUUGUCAAGUGCAUAAUCUCUCAAACGUUUUAGAAAAUUAACUGGCAGUGAAAAGAGAAUAGUUCUUAUGUAAUGUAACCCUAGUGGAUGAUGAAGAUGUGAAAGAAGGUCAUCAAAGCUCCCAGAGGGUGAUCUAGAUUUGGAAGACUUUUUUUACAUUAGGCCGAUGGUAAUGUUUUUGCCCAUGACUACGUUGUUGUCGUAAGGUAGUAUUAAAUAAACUCAUUACAUUAACAUCACUGCAGACAGGACUUGACAAAUUUCCUACUCCUUUAAUAUUGCCAUUGCAACCAUAUGGCAUUGCAGUCCCCAACUCCCUUAUCC